AGCACUGUUUAGCAUGGUGGUGGUGUAUGAGGUGUUAGUGAGUGUUGAGCUGGUGGUACAGUGAGUGGAUCAGAUACAGCAGUGAUUAGCAGUGAUUAGCGUGGUGGUGGUGGUGUAUGAGGUGUUAGUGUGUGUUGAGCUGGUACAGUGAGUGGAUCAGAUACAGCAGUGAUUAGCAGUGAUUAGCAUGGUGGUGGUGUAUGAGGUGUUAGUGAGUGUUGAGCUGGUGGUACAGUGAGUGGAUCAGAUACAGCAGUGAUUAGCAGUGAUUAGCAUGGUGGUGGUGUAUGAGGUGUUAGUGAGUGUUGAGCUGGUACAGUGAGUGGAUCAGAUACAGCAGUGAUUAGCAGUGAUUAGCAUGGUGGUGGUGUAUGAGGUGUUAGUGAGUGUUGAGCUGGUGGUACAGUGAGUGGAUCAGAUACAGCAGUGAUUAGCAGUGAUUAGCAUGGUGGUGGUGUAUGAGGUUUUAGUGUGUGUUGAGCUGGUGGUACAGUGAGUGGAUCAGAUACAGCAGUGAUUAGCAGUGAUUAGCAUGGUGGUGGUGUAUGUGGUGUUAGUGAGUGUUGAGCUGGUGGUACAGUGAGUGGAUCAGAUACAGCAGUGAUUAGCAGUGAUUAGCAUGGUGGUGGUGUAUGAGGUGUUAGUGUGUGUUGAGCUGGUGCUACAGUGAGUGGAUCAGAUACAGCAGUGAUUAGCAGUGAUUAGCAUGGUGGUGGUGUAUGAGGUGUUAGUGAGUGUUGAGCUGGUGGUACAGUGAGUGGAUCAGAUACAGCAGUGAUUAGCAGUGAUUAGCAUGGUGGUGGUGUAUGAGGUGUUAGUGAGUGUUGAGCUGGUACAGUGAGUGGAUCAGAUACAGCAGUGAUUAGCAGUGAUUAGCAUGGUGGUGGUGUAUGAGGUGUUAGUAUGUGUUGAGCUGGUGGUACAGUGAGUGGAUCAGAUACAGCAGUGAUUAGCAGUGAUUAGCAUGGUGGUGGUGUAUGAGGUGUUAUUGUGUGUUGAGCUGGUGGUACAGUGAAUGGAUCAGAUACAGCAGUGAUUAGCAGUGAUUAGCAUGGUGGUGGUGUAUGAGGUGUUAGUGUGUGUUGAGCUGGUGGUACAGUGAGUGGAUCAGAUACAGCAGUGAUUAGCAGUGAUUAGCAUGGUGGUGGUGUAUGAGGUGUUAGUGAGUGUUGAGCUGGUGGUACAGUGAGUGGAUCAGAUACAGCAGUGAUUAGCAGUGAUUAGCAUGGUGGUGGUGUAUGAGGUGUUAGUGAGUGUUGAGCUGGUGGUACAGUGAGUGGAUCAGAUACAGCAGUGAUUAGCAUGGUGGUGGUGUAUGAGGUGUUAGUGAGUGUUGAGCUGGUGGUACAGUGAGUGGAUCAGAUACUGCAGUGAUUAGCAGUGAUUAGCAUGGUGGUGGUGUAUGAGGUGUUAGUGAGUGUUGAGCUGGUGGUACAGUGAGUGGAUCAGAUACAGCAGUGAUUAGCAAUGAUUAGCAUGGUGGUGGUGUAUGAGGUGUUAGUGAGUGUUGAGCUGGUGGUACAGUGAGUGGAUCAGAUACUGCAGUGAUUAGCAGUGAUUAGCAUGGUGGUGGUGUAUGAGGUGUUAGUGAGUGUUGAGCUGGUGGUACAGUGAGUGGAUCAGAUACAGCAGUGAUUAGCAGUGAUUAGCAUGGUGGUGGUGUAUGAGGUGUUAGUGAGUGUUGAGCUGGUGGGUACAGUGAGUGGAUCAGAUACAGCAGUGAUUAGCAGUGAUUAGCAUGGUGGUGGUGUAUGAGGUGUUAGUGAGUGUUGAGCUGGUGGUACAGUGAGUGGAUCAGAUACAGCAGUGAUUAGCAGUGAUUAGCAUGGUGGUGGUGUAUGAGGUGUUAGUGAGUGUUGAGCUGGUGGUACAGUGAGUGGAUCAGAUACAGCAGUGAUUAGCAGUGAUUAGCAUGGUGGUGGUGUAUGUGGUGUUAGUGAGUGUUGAGCUGGUGGUACAGUGAGUGGAUCAGAUACAGCAGUGAUUAGCAUGGUGGUGGUGUAUGAGGUGUUAGUGUGUGUUGAGCUGGUGGUACAGUGAGUGGAUCAGAUACUGCAGUGAUUAGCAGUGAUUAGCAUGGUGGUGGUGUAUGAGGUGUUAGUGUGUGUUGUGCUGGUGGUACAGUGAGUGGAUCAGAUACUGCAGUGAUUAGCAGUGAUUAGCAUGGUGGUGGUGUAUGAGGUGUUAGUGAGUGUUGAGCUGGUACAGUGAGUGGAUCAGAUACAGCAGUGAUUAGCAUGGUGGUGGUGUAUGAGGUGUUAGUGUGUGUUGUGCUGGUGGUACAGUGAGUGGAUCAGAUACUGCAGUGAUUAGCAGUGAUUAGCAUGGUGGUGGUGUAUGAGGUGUUAGUGAGUGUUGAGCUGGUGGUACAGUGAGUGGAUCAGAUACAGCAGUGAUU